UACGUAGGGUGCAAGCGUUAAUCGGAAUUACUGGGCGUAAAGAGCUCGUAGGCGGUUCAGUAAGUCGGGUGUGAAAACUCAGGGCUCAACCCUGAGCUGCCACCCGAUACUGCUGUGACUUGAGUCUGGUAGGGGAGUGGGGAAUUCCUGGUGUAGCGGUGAAAUGCGCAGAUAUCAGGAGGAACACCGGUGGCGAAGGCGCCACUCUGGGCCACGACUGACGCUGAGGAGCGAAAGCAUGGGUAGCAAACAGG
rnacentral:rRNA from 1 species